rnacentral:rRNA from 1 species
UACGUAGGGAGCAAGCGUUGUUCGGAUUUACUGGGCGUAAAGGGCGCGUAGGCGGCGCGACAAGUCACUUGUGAAAUCUCCGGGCUUAACUCGGAACGGCCAAGUGAAACUGUCAUGCUAGAGUGCAGAAAGGGCAAUCGGAAUUCUUGGUGUAGCGGUGAAAUGCGUAGAUAUCAAGAGGAACACCUGAGGCGAAGGCGGGUUGCUAGGCUGACACUGACGCUGAGGCGACGAAAGCCAGGGGAGCAAACGGG